AAAAAGUAGUGAAGUCCGUGAGCCAUGCGUCAAGAAAAGCCGCUAUUGUUUGUACCGUACCCGUACCGUAAACCGACACAGGUGGAUGAGGAGAGAAUCCUAAGGCCGGCGGAAGAAGCAUUGUCAAGGAACUCGGCAAAAUGGCCCCGUAACUUAGGGAUAAGGGGUGCCUCAGAAAUGAGGCCGCAGAGAAUAGGCUCAAGCAACUGUUUAGCAAAAACACAGGUCUAUGCGAAACCGAAAGGUGAGGUAUAUGGGCUGACGCCUGCCCGGUGCUGGAAGGUUAAGAGGAGAGGUUAGCGCAAGCGAAGCUUUGAAUUUAAGCCCCAGUAAACGGCGGCCGUAACAAUAACGGUCCUAAGGUAGCGAAAUUCCUUGUCGGGUAAGUUCCGACCCGCACGAAAGGCGUAAUGAUUUGAGCGCUGUCUCGACAAUGCAUCCGGUGAAAUUGAAGUACCAGUGAAGAUGCUGGUUACCUGCGCCAGGACGGAAAGACCCCAUGGAGCUUUACUCCAGUUUGGUACUGGGACUCGGUAUUGCAUGUACAGGAUAGGUGGGAGGCUAGGAGAUAGUAACGCCAGUUAUUAUGGAGCCGCUGUUGGGAUACCACCCUUGCAGUAUUGGGUUUCUAACCAGCCGCCGUGACCCGGCGGUGGGACAAUGCCAGACGGGGAGUUUGACUGGGGCGGUCGCCUCCGAAAGGGUAUCGGAGGCGCCCAAAGGUUCCCUCAGAAUGGACGGAAACCAUUCGAAGAGUGCAAAGGCAGAAGGGAGCUUGACUGCGACACCGACGGGUGGAGCAGGUACGAAAGUAGGGCUUAGUGAUCCGGUGGUAUUAAGUGGGAAUGCCAUCGCUCAACGGAUAAAAGCUACCCUGGGAUAACAGGCUUAUCACUCCCAAGAGUUCACAUCGACGGAGUGGUUUGGCACCUCGAUGUCGGCUCAUCGCAUCCUGGGGCUGUAGUAGGUCCCAAGGGUUGGGCUGUUCGCCCAUUAAAGCGGUACGCGAGCUGGGUUCAGAACGUCGUGAGACAGUUCGGUCCCUAUCCGGCGUGGGCGUAGGAUAUCUGAGAGGAGCUGUCCUUAGUACGAGAGGACCGGGAUGGACGGGCCGCUGGUGCAUCGGUUAGACUGCCAAGUCUACGGCCGAGUAGCCAAGCCCGGAAGGGAUAAACGCUGAAGGCAUCUAAGCGUGAAGCCCCCCUUAAGAUGAGAUAUCCCAUUCGAAAGAAGUAAACCCCCUUGAAGACGACGAGGUAGAUAGGGCAGAGGUGGAAGUGUGGCAACACAUGGAGCUGACUGUUACUAAUCGGGUGAGGGCUUGACC
rnacentral:rRNA from 1 species